AAAAAGGCUCUUUUCAGAGCCAUACAAAUUUUGAAAAAGAAAUGCU
rfam:Stegodyphus mimosarum contig103927, whole genome shotgun sequence.